AUUUUCUUCUCUUGAUAUUAUUUUAUUACAGUGAUUUAUUCUCUACUAUCCAUUUAUAUCUAGCUUCAUACAAGACCUGUGUUAUUUUUAGCCUGGUCAGAGGAGAAUUGUUGGGUGCACAUGUGGAGUUUUGUGGAGAUGUGUCCAGACGUUUCAGUCUUUAUUGCUUGUCGUGUCCCUCCUUAUUUGAAGAAACUUCUCUGUGCCAAGAUCUUCUUCAGAGGAGAAAAAGCAUUUAAUUUUCAGUGGUUGGACAAUAAAAGCAAGAUUUAUUGCAGCAAGUGAAUAAUAAAAAAAGAAUAACAAGAAAACA
rnacentral:lncRNA from 1 species